rnacentral:misc_RNA from 1 species
CCAUUUCAUGAACUUCUUGAUCUCAUCAUACAAAACCAAUACGGCAGCAGCUCCUGUACUCCUAAACAUAUUUGACAGUGCCCCGCGAUAAAAUGAGGCCACCCCCUCUGUCCUGUAAAUUUUCCUCCAGCAGUCAAGUGUGCCACGAUACAUUGGCUGUUCCAGGCCAGAUUGCAUCAUCAUUCGCCUUCUAACUGUGUCCAACGGGUAAGACAACAGCCCAGCAGAUGUUGUGACUGCUUGAGCCACCACCCAACGCUUCCACAAUGCCAAUUCAGGUUUAGCAUCAUUAGACAAAAUCUCCUUCAUUGUAUCAAAGCCUCCAAAAUAUAGGCCCCGGUGAACUACCAUCCCGUGCAGAGAUGCAGGAAGUCCUCUAUAAAUUCCCGGAAUCCCUUCUUUCUUGCAUAUGGUAGUUAAAAAAUGGUAGAUACCUCGGAAUUGUCGAACAUCAGUUCUUCCAAUGUCAGCAGCAAGGCGGGUGUGUGCAAUAUCAAGUGGAUAGAUUAAGAUUAAUGUUGUGCAGCCAGCAGCAGCCCCCGCAAUGAAAUUGGCAGAUGCACCAGACAGAAAAUGACCAUCUUGAUGAUUGCCAUUUCUUAGUAUGUUUCUAUAAAGAUCCUUAAGCGAGAAAUUGAGAGCGACAGAAGGAUAGUAGCGAAGAACACUACUGCCAUUGCCCCUCCAUAAAGAAAGAACCCCUUCUUCCCUAACGGUACGAACGAUGCAAUCAAUCAUGC